AUACGGAGGACGCGAGCGUUAUCCGGAUUCAUUGGGUUUAAAGGGUGCGCAGGCGGCCGUGCAAGUCAGCGGUGAAAGCCCGGGGCUCAACCCCGGAAGUGCCGUUGAUACUGCAUGGCUGGAAUGCGGUCGAGGCGGGCGGAACGUGGCGUGUAGCGGGGAAAUGCGUGGAUAUGCCACAGAACGCCGAUAGCGGAGGCAGCUCGCCAGGCCUGCAUUGACGCUCGGGCACGAAAGCGUGGGGAUCGAACAGGAUUAGAUACCCUGGUAGUCCACGCCGUAAACGAUGGGCGCUCGUCGUCGGCGGCAGACAGUCGGCGGCCAAGCGAAAGCGAUAAGCGCCCCACCUGGGGAGUACGGUCGCAAGGCUGAAACUCAAAUGAAUUGACGGGG
rnacentral:rRNA from 1 species